GAUGAACGCUGGCGGAGUGCCUAAUACAUGCAAGUCGAGCGGCAGCACGAGUAGUUUACUACUUGGUGGCGAGCGGCGGACGGCUGAGUAACGCGUGGGAACGUGCCCCAAAGUGAGGAAUAACUGCCCGAAAGGGUAGCUAAUGCCGCAUAUGAUCUUCGGAUUAAAGCUUUAUGCGCUUUGGGAGCGGCCCGCGUCCGAUUAGAUAGUUGGUGAGGUAAUGGCUCACCAAGUCGACGAUCGGUAGCUGGUCUGAGAGGAUGAUCAGCCAGACUGGGACUGAGACACGGCCCAGACUCCUACGGGAGGCAGCAGUAAGGAAUCUUCCACAAUGGGCGAAAGCCUGAUGGAGCAACGCCGCGUGCAGGAUGAAGGCCUUCGGGUCGUAAACUGCUUUUAUGAGUGAAGAAUAUGACAGUAACUCAUGAAUAAGCACCGGCUAACUACGUGCCAGCCGCCGCCGUAA
rnacentral:rRNA from 1 species